CCUACGGGAGGCAGCAGUGAGGAAUAUUGGUCAAUGGGCGCGAGCCUGAACCAGCCAAGUAGCGUGAAGGAUGACUGCCCUACGGGUUGUAAACUUCUUUUAUAAGGGAAUAAAGUGAGGCACGUGUGCCUUUUUGUAUGUCCUUUAUGAAUGAGCAUCGGCUAACUCCGUGCCAGCAGCCGCGGUAAUACGGAGGAUCCGAGCGUUGUCCGGAUUUAUUGGGUUUAAAGGGAGCGUAGAUGGGUUGGUAAGUUAGUUGUGAAAGUUUGCGGCUCAACCUUAAAAUUGCAAUUGAUACUGGCAGUCUUGAGUACAGUUGAGGUAGGCGGAAUUCGUGGUGUAGCGGUGAAAUGCGUAGAUAUUACGAAGAACUCCGAUUGCGAAGGCAGCUUACUAAACUGCCACUGACACUGAUGCUCGAAAGUGUGGGUAGCAAACAGGAUUAGAUACCCCUGUAGUC
rnacentral:rRNA from 1 species